GGGCUUUAUCUAGUCUUAUCUGAUUACACAACAAAAUGAGGCUUAACCAACUAAGAGCAAUUUUUCACCAUUUGAAACUGUUAGUCCUGUGAUGGUGACUAUACAUAUGCUGAUAUUUUCUUUACUUAUUCUGUUAUAGAAUGGCUUUGAUGCUUCUGAUUUCAUUAAGAUAAUCCUUUCUGUUUGACUAAUUGUUAUGCAAUUGCAACUUGCAAGUGGUGGUCUAUCUGCCAUUGGCGCUAUAAAUUUGUAUGGAAGAUUCUACGCAACAUGUCCUAUGUAAUCAAGAGGGAAGAAACAGAGAUAUCACUGAGUUUUAAUGGUUGCUGCUUUCAUAUUUUCACAUCCUAACUUCUAAUGCACUAUUUUAGCUUUUCCAAUGAUACUUAUUAUACAACUUCAA
rnacentral:misc_RNA from 1 species